UACGGAGGGGGCUAGCGUUGUUCGGAAUUACUGGGCGUAAAGGGUGCGUAGGCGGGUCUUUAAGUCAGGGGUGAAAUCCUGGAGCUCAACUCCAGAACUGCCUUUGAUACUGAAGAUCUUGAGUUCGGGAGAGGUGAGUGGAACUGCGAGUGUAGAGGUGAAAUUCGUAGAUAUUCGCAAGAACACCAGUGGCGAAGGCGGCUCACUGGCCCGAUACUGACGCUGAUGCACGAAAGCGUGGGGAGCAAACAGG
rnacentral:rRNA from 1 species